GGGUAGCUGAGAGGAUGGUAGACCGGUGACGUGCACUUCAUUUACGAUGUAGGUCACCCGUUUGACUACCCAUCAGCACCC
rfam:Sus scrofa breed Duroc isolate TJ Tabasco Contig1914_1, whole genome shotgun sequence.